CUACGUGCCAGCAGCCGCGGUAAUACGUAUGUCGCGAGCGUUAUCCGGAAUUAUUGGGCAUAAAGGGCAUCUAGGCGGUUAUGCAAGUCAGGGGUGAAAACUUACGGCUCAACCGUGAGCUUGCCUUUGAAACUGUGUGACUAGAGUACUGGAGAGGCGGGCGGAACUACACGAGUAGGGGUGAAAUUCGUAGAUAUGUGUAGGAAUGCCGAUGAUGAAGAUAGCUCACUGGACAGAAACUGACGCUGAAGUGCGAAAGCUAGGGGAGCGAACAGGAUUAGAUACCCUGGUAGUCCUAGCUGUAAACGAUGAUCACUGGGUGUGGGCAUGAAGAGUGUCUGUGCCGAAGCUAAUGCGAUAAGUGAUCCGCCUGGGGAGUACGACCGCAAGGUUGAAACUCAAAGGAAUUGACGGGGACCCGCACAAGCGGUGGAGCAUGUGGUUUAAUUCGACGCAACGCGAGGAACCUUACCAGAUCUUGACAUCC
rnacentral:rRNA from 1 species